rnacentral:rRNA from 1 species
UGCGUAGGCGGCUUUGCAAGUCAGAUGUGAAAUCUAUGGGCUCAACCCAUAAACUGCAUUUGAAACUGUAGAGCUUGAGUGAAGUAGAGGCAGGCGGAAUUCCCCGUGUAGCGGUGAAAUGCGUAGAGGUGGGGAGGAACACCAGUGGCGAAGGCGGCCUGCUGGGCUUUAACUGACGCUGAGGCACGAAAGCGUGGUAGCAAACA